rnacentral:sRNA from 1 species
CAAGAUGGAAAUGGUGCAUAAAGAUUAUCCAUUGGAUGGAAGAACCGAAUUCCAGGUAACGAAGCUAUUAUCCAAUCAGUACUUUGUUACUCCCGUAGUU